AGCGAACGCUGGCGGCAGGCUUAACACAUGCAAGUCGAGCGCCCCGCAAGGGGAGCGGCAGGCGGGUGAGUAACACGUGGGAACGUACCUUUUGGUUCGGAACAACUGAGGGAAACUUCAGCUAAUACCGGAUAAGCCCUUACGGGGAAAGAUUUAUCGCCGAAAGAUCGGCCCGCGUCUGAUUAGCUAGUUGGUGAGGUAAUGGCUCACCAAGGCGACGAUCAGUAGCUGGUCUGAGAGGAUGAUCAGCCACACUGGGACUGAGACACGGCCCAGACUCCUACGGGAGGCAGCAGUGGGGAAUAUUGGACAAUGGGGGCAACCCUGAUCCAGCCAUGCCGCGUGAGUGAUGAAGGCCCUAGGGUUGUAAAGCUCUUUUAACGGGGAAGAUAAUGACGGUACCCGUAGAAUAAGCCCCGGCUAACUUCGUGCCAGCCGCCGCCGUAAGAC
rnacentral:rRNA from 1 species